rnacentral:rRNA from 1 species
GAUGAACGCUGGCGGCGUGCCUAAUACAUGCAAGUCGAGCGAACAGACGAGGAGCUUGCUCCUCUGACGUUAGCGGCGGACGGGUGAGUAACACGUGGAUAACCUACCUAUAAGACUGGGAUAACUUCGGGAAACCGGAGCUAAUACCGGAUAAUAUAUUGAACCGCAUGGUUCAAUAGUGAAAGACGGUUUUGCUGUCACUUAUAGAUGGAUCCGCGCCGCAUUAGCUAGUUGGUAAGGUAACGGCUUACCAAGGCAACGAUGCGUAGCCGACCUGAGAGGGUGAUCGGCCACACGGGAACUGAGACACGGUCCAGACUCCUACGGGAGGCAGCAGUAGGGAAUCUUCCGCAAUGGGCGAAAGCCUGACGGAGCAACGCCGCGUGAGUGAUGAAGGUCUUCGGAUCGUAAAACUCUGUUAUUAAGGAAGAACAAAUGUGUAAGUAACUAUGCACGUCUUGACGGUACCUAAUCAGAAAGCCACGGCUAACUACGUG